AUUGAACGCUGGCGGCAGGCCUAACACAUGCAAGUCGCACGAGUGGCGGCCGGGUGAGUAAUGUCUGGGAAACUGCCUGAUGGAGGGGGCUAACUACUGGAAACGGUAGCUAAUACCGCAUACCAUCGGAUGUGCCCAGUGGGGAUUAGCUAGUAGGUGGGGUAACGGCGCACCUAGGCGACGAUCCCUAGCUGGUCUGCGAGGAUGACCAGCCAAACUGGAACUGAGACACGGUCCAGACUACGACGGGAGGCAGCAGUGGGGAAGAUUGCACAAUGGGCGCAAGCCUGAUGCAGCCAUGCCGAGUGGAUGAAGAAGGCCUUCGGGUUUUAAAGUACUUUCAGCGGGGAGGCGUUACCCGCAGAAGAAGCACCGGCUAAGUCCGUGCCAGCCGCCGCGGUAAUAC
rnacentral:rRNA from 1 species